UCCAGAAGGAUCCACCUAGGAAUGAAACUAGGUGGUCUCAAAAAGGACCCACAAAGCAAGAUCAUUAGUUACACCAUGUCUGUCAGAUAAAAUUAGAGAAAUGUGGAUAAGGAUUCCAAUGUGGCUAAGUGAAGGAAAAGUAAAGGCCUCAAUGUCCACUUUGAUUAUUCAAUACAAGAAGCUAUAAAACAAUUUUAACAACAUUCCCAGGAAAGUGGACAGACCAACUCUGAGCCUGAGGGCUGCACAUGUCCCAUCCACCUAUGCUGGAUGUUGCAUGUGGAGAAGAAUUUCUUAUCAACUUUUCCCAGGUGCCUGAAUCAACUCUUGGGCAAGCUGAGGGGGGGAAAAAAAAUGCAUGUUCUCAAAUCUUCCUUCAUUCUCUACAAGCUCCUUUAAAAAAAAAAAAAUUAUUUUUUAGAUGUAGUUGGGCACAAUACCUUUAUUUUAUUUAUUUAUUUUAAUAUGUUGCUGAGAAUUGAAUCCAGAGCCUCGCACGUGAUAGGUGAGUGCUCUACUGCUAAGCCACAACCCCACCCUCUACAAGCUCCUUUGAGGGGGGGGGGGGACCCCGAAGUGGGCAAAGUCCUGAAAAUAAGGAUGGCUAGAAAAAACAGUGUUUGUGAUCCAACUGGACACAAAUGUGGCCUGACUGGUGAGGAGUAGGAAAACACAAUGAAGUUAAAGGAUACCAGACACACCUGAACAAACCACACCUGAGCAGCUUCUUGGUUGCAGAAGCUCCAUGAGGAAGGGCAGGGGUUCCCCACACAAAGCCAAGCACACACUGUGUCCUGGCCCCCCCCUCAGACUUGCCAGGUGCCUAUGGAAGAUCUCUGAAGAAUCCUCAUGUUGGUUCACUCCAUGAGCCAACUAUGCCAGACUCACCCGCCUGAGACCUCCUGACCAUCAGCUGUGUUGCUAUUAAGAGUUAAGGGGCUGGGGUUGUGGCUUAGUGGUAGAAGGCUUGCCUAGCAUGUGUGAGGCACUGGGUUCAAUUCUAAGCACCACAUAUAAAUAAAUGAAUAAACUAAAGGGCCAUUAACACCUAAAAAAAGAAAAAUUUUAAGAAGAAAUAGAGUUAAUAAGGGUCUCUGAUUAGCACAGAUAUUGAUCAAUGCGCCCACCCAGUAGCUACAUAAGCCCCUAGACUAAUACAUUUAAGUGACAACCUGCUAUUGGGUCCCCUGUCACCCUGUGGAUGUUUUCUUUUCUUCUUAUGUGAAUAAAUCCUACUCCACUCAAAAAGUGGGGGUAGGCUGAGGUGGUGGCUCAGUGGUAGAGUGCUAGCCUAGCACGUGUGAGGCACUGGAUUUGAUCCUCAGCACCACAUAAAAAUAAAUAUAUACAAUAAAGACACUGUGUCCAUCUAAAACUAAAGAAAGAAAAGGUCUCAGAGGCCACAAAUGUGGCUCAAUGGUAGUGCACUUGCCUACAACACAGGAGGCCAAGGGCCUCAUUCCCAGCACAGCUAAGAACAGAUAAGACCCUUCACUAUUCCCUAUCACAGAUAAGAAAUGCUACAUGCAGCUUCAUGAAGAUCACAACACAAGCCUCUUUAAGGAAAUGGCUCAGCAUCUGAGAGCCUUUUGUGCUUGAAAAUGGACUCCCCACCUGGUGGCCAGGUGGUUGGACUCCUUUCUCUACCUUCCAAUCUUUCCUCAUCCUCCUUCCAAUCUUUCCUCAUCCUCAUCCAAGUGUUGAAGUGACCCAAUCCCAGACCCUGGAUGAAACCUGCCAUUCUGAAAGGCCUUGAAGGCAAAGACAGUCUAAUUAUUUUCAAUUCCUGCAGUGUUUAAGCCACUGAUACAGGCACCUGGGGGAAUGGGAGUAGCAGGUGCUAACAAGUCGAGACACAAAGACUCUUUAAGUCAAGAUGCUUCUGUUCCUAGGCUAUGAUUGUGUAUCUGGAAUCAUUGGAUUCCUGCAGAAUCCAGGACCUAGGCAAGGUUACCAGGGGAUCCCUUAAGUGUUUUCUAUUUCUAUGGCUUUCAUCAUAUCCUAAAAGGGUUCCAAAAACUCCAAAAGGUCAACAGCUACCCUGCUCUAGAAAAUUAGUAUGAAGUAAAAUACUAACAAACCAAGGGCAUCGACGUGUUCUGCUAUUUACAGCUAUUGUGGAUUUGCUACAUAACAGAGAAAGAGCAAUGGAGUGCAGCCUACAGAUACCAUCUGUAUCUCCAUCUCAAUUCUAGAGGUUG
rnacentral:lncRNA from 1 species